UUUAUAUAAUAAACAAUUAUAUAUUGAGUAUUUAAUUUGUCAGAAAGACUCUAGUCACUAUAUUAUGAUUUAUAUAAUUGUUAGAAAUGAAAAUGUUGUUCAGGAUUUGAUCUCUUUCUGGUAUAAAGUCAUAAUUGAUGAUGUAAUCAGUGGCCUAGGUUGUAAAAUCUCUCUCAAUAAAGAAAAUACUUUGAUGAAUAUAAUAGUAUUUAAUAAUCAGCUUCAAUCUGCUGUCAGAUGUUUUCCGAGCGUCUUUCAUCUCAAUGAUUCAGAAAACAGGGAUCCUGAAUCUGGUGUCCAAAUGAAACGUGAUGGGAUGAUCCUGAUCAUCAUCUGGACAUGAAGCUGUUUAUAUUGUCAGUCUUCAAGCAGGUCUCAAAGAAUCAGAAGAAUCAAGUUGAUCUUGUGUUCAGAUCAGUGCAACACCUCAGCCCUUCUCAACUCUCAUUGUUUCAGCUCAUUCACACAGUUUUGAAGUAUGUAUUAAUGGUUUCACUGUGGGCAUUUAGCUUUUAAUUCCUCCAGACAAGACCGUGUCACUCAUUUACUGAUAAUGGUUCUGUACUCUGUGUAAAUGUAAUGCAGCUGCUGAUGUAAUAAAAAGAAAAACUGUGCAAAAGAUGUGAUUUUAAACCAUUGCUAUUCUUAAAUCUCAUGAAAUGGUUGAGCGGUUGAGGAGGAUGUUUAAUGUGUUUUCAGCAGCAUCUCAGAUGUUGGUUCACAGAUCUUCAGCUCUGAAACCCAGUGAUCUGCCUGAAUAGUCAGCAUUGUAGAAAACUGUCUAUGUAGGGAGCAGUGUUGGGUGUAACGUGUUACUAAGUAAAUUAAAUUAAAUGACUUAUCCACUGGAAAAGUUAAAGUAAGGGAUUACUGCUCAUUUUUAGGUAAUUUCAUUACAGUUACUUAUAAAGUACUUGCGUUACAUACAGUAAAUAAUUUCAACAGUUCUAAAAUCAAUAUUGAAUUUGAAAUCUAAAUUUACCGUCUAAAGAUAAUUUAAUGCAGCGUCUUUAACCCUCUGCGCGCCAGCGCAUUCACUUUCAGUUUUUCCUGAUUCACAGAUAAACCUUAAAUACUCAGAUACAGAUAAGGCUAAAAUCAAUCGAAUCUAAAAAGGACCUACUUUUAUUUGUGUUCACUGACAAUAACAACAAAACAUUGUGCUUUUGUAAAAUAAAAAAUUAAUAACCGUGCACUUUCUGCCAUCUAGGUCUCCAUGAGCAACUUUCUACACGUCACAAACUCAGGGAAUAUUUGACACAGAGACAUGAGAAAUAUAUCUAUAGAAAGCCUGUGUCUACUUUUUAAUGAAUUCAAAUAGAAAACGAAUAUUAUCUGAUUAAACUAAAGCGAGGUCAGGCGGAGGGUGAACCCACUCCAGGGUAAGACUAAAAGCAGUUAUUAAACAUCAUAAAACCGUCUCUUUAGGCACCAGCCAUACAUGGGUGUCAUGUCUAAUAAAAUAUGUUCAGUGGGACUGAAUUUGUAUUGAACGUGAUUAAGAUUUAAUAAAAACAUUAGAAAUUUAUAAUUAGACUAUAUAAUGUUCCCUUUUCAUGGUUAUUCAAACAGCGAAUAAAUUAUAGCUAACGUUAUAGAAAUGAACUGACAUUAUCACUAACUUCAGAGGUUUCAUUCAUUCAAAGUGAUUUCUGAGCCAAGUGGAUUUUAAAUGCAGCUUCCAAAAGACGAAAAUAGCCGGAUAAUAUUUUUUUAUAUUUGAUACAAUUACACCGGUGUGAUUAGAUCGUUCAGUGCGGCUCAGCAUCAGCUGCUAC
ensembl:lncRNA